rnacentral:rRNA from 1 species
ACAUACCGCCCGUCACUCUCCCCUAGUCUAAAAAACCUUUAAAUAUUUAAUAAGUUUUACCAGCAAAGAGGAGGCAAGUCGUAACAUGGUAAGUGUACCGGAAGGUGUACUUGGACAAUUCAAAAUGUGGCUCAAACUAGAAAAGCAUCUCUCUUAC